ensembl:lncRNA
GCAGGAUGUUGGGAAAUGCUUGGACUCCUCCCCUGCAGGACGGGCAGGCCAAUGGAAAGGGAAAGCUGUUGAUGACCCUGGGGACCAGCCCUGACCAGGGACCACUGGAGCUAAGCAGUGGAGCAGGCACAGGUCUCCCUCCCAGCUGCCACUCCCCCUGAGAUCCAGGAAGUCCCUGUACCUGUGACAUCACACUUCAUCCACAAAAAUAGCCAGCAUAUCUCAGCAGCCAGGGUGCAGCCUGCUCUGUGGGGUGACAGGCUGUGAGUGCGAGUCAGCAUCUGCUGGGUGGAUGGCACCCCUCCCUGCUGACCCCAGAGUGGGGACACGCUCACCCAUCUGCAGAGCCUCUAGAAGGUUAUUAGAAGCAGCAGUGGAGCAGUGGCCUAAGGAAACACCCGGAACAGCCACGUGUGUGUGUGUGCAUGUGCACUUGUGCACAGAAGCAAUAACGUCGUAAGUCUGGGAGACUGCGUAUGCUCACAGGUGAGUGUAACUGUGCCUAACUAUUUGUGGCAGGGUGCUUGGGUGGUGUGUGAGAGAAAUUCUGAAUGUAGGCUAAAUGGUGCUAGGAUGUGGUGGUGGUGGUGGGGUCUAUCUAUGUGUGUGCCCAUGAGGGUAAAAGCUAGGAAGGGUUUCUGGAGAGGGAGACAGUGAAGGAGACUAAUCCCCCUUAUCCUCAUACUGCAUUCCUAUCUCACCGGGCAAAACAUAGGGCCAGAUAAUUCCAAACGCCGAGUCUAUUUAACUUGGGACCUCAUUACAGAAGUAUUUUUUCCAUCAGAAAAUUUGCUGAAACAAAAUGGCAUUUGGCUUCAGCAAAUAUUGAACCAGUUUGCUUUCCCAGAGCUGACACUGGAGGGAGGAUAUACGGAGCUCAGGCCAUGGGAGGCCAAAUUGCCACCCUUCACUGGCAAAGAGAAUCCCCCCAGGACUGCCCAGUGAGGCAGCCUCACGCCUGGGAGGGACACACGUCUCUUUCUGCCUCUGCUUGUGCUGGGCCCUCUGCCUAGAUGUUCUGGAAUGUUCUUCCCUCUCCUUUUCCACCUGAGGAACAAUGGCCCUGCCUCCAGGAGUUAGUACACCUGCCAUUUCUGUGAAGGGACCUCUGGUUCCCUUCCUCUCGUCACCCCACAGCACCCCGUAUCCUCCACGACAGUUAGUCGGUAUCGCUCCCCCACUAAAUGGGCGCCUCCUUACAUAGAGGGUUUUCUCCAGUUCUCUAACCCCAGCAUCUAAUGCAUAAUAGAGAUUUUUUUUAACACAGAGUCUUCCUCUGUCACCCAGGCUGGAGUGCAGUGGCACGAUCUCAGCUCACUGCAGUCUCCGCCUCCCAGGUUCAAGCAAUUUUCCUGCCUCAGCCUCCCAAGUAGCUGGGAUUACAGGUGGGUGCCACCACACCCAGAUAAUUUUUGUAUUUUUAGUAGAGACGGGGUUUCACCAUGUUGGCCAGGCUGGUCUCAAACUCCUGACCUCAAAUGAUCUGCCCCCCUCAAACUCCCAAAGUGCUGGAUUACAGGCGUGAGCCACCGUACCCGGCAGAGACUUUUUAAAGUUAACACAUGUUGGCCAACUACAUGUGCCAGGCACUUGACAAGGAGUCUCUUUUUUAAUUCCUCAAAACAACCUGUGAGGUCAGUUCUCUUUGUAACAUUUCCAUUUCAUAAAAGAGA